AUACGUAGGGUGCAAGCGUUAAUCGGAAUUACUGGGCGUAAAGCGUGCGCAGGCGGUUUUGUAAGACAGAGGGGAAAUUCCCGGGCUCAACCUGGGAACUGCCUUUGCGACCGCAAGGGUAGAGGACGGCAGAGGGGGAUGGGAAUCCGCGUGUAGCAGGGAAAAGCGUAGAUAUGCGGAGGAACACCGAUGGCGAAGGCAAUCCCCUGGGCCUGUACUGACGCUCAUGCACGAAAGCGUGGGGAGCAAACAGGAUUAGAUACCCUGGUAGUCCACGCCCUAAACGAUGUCAACUGGUUGUUGGGUCUUCAUUGACUCAGUAACGAAGCUAACGCGUGAAGUUGACCGCCUGGGGAGUACGGCCGCAAGGUUGAAACUCAAAUGAAUUGACGGGG
rnacentral:rRNA from 1 species